rfam:Bacteroidetes bacterium GWF2_40_13 gwf2_scaffold_97, whole genome shotgun sequence.
UCAAAUGUGGAAAGAUUUGAACGUAUUGCAACCACAGGAAAAAAUGCUAAAAAGAAUUCC